CCUGCUGGCUUGAGGUCUUGACAUUAGGCAGAGCCCAGGAGCCUCCGGUGGCCCAGGGGAUAAAAGCCUCGUGACUUGAAGGUUGGGUUGCUGACCUGAAAGCUAGGAAGGCACUUUGAAUUCUUGGCAGGGGUUUGUUUUGCUUUCUGCCACAAUGGACACAAGCUAUCACACUACGUGGAGAUGCAAAGUGAGCUCUAUACGACUUCCUAUACUACCGGUAACACAAAUUAAAAUAUAGAUGCUGUGAUCACAACAUCACACUCAUGCUCCUGCACAUUUUACCUGGUGAAGAAACCAAUGCAACUUCAAAAACUAGAAUGAUGUGCUUUUGGAUUGGCUAAAUAAAGGUAUUACUUCCA